GAUGAACGCUGGCGGCGUGCUUAACACAUGCAAGUCGAACGAGAAAUGGAGACGGAAACCUUCGGGCGGAAGGCUUCAUUUCGAGUGGCGGACGGGUGAGUAACGCGUGGGUAACCUGCCUCAUACAGGGGGAUAACAGUUGGAAACGACUGUUAAUACCGCAUAAGACCACAGCACCGCAUGGUGCGGGGGUAAAAACUCCGGUGGUAUGAGAUGGACCCGCGUUCGAUUAGCCAGUUGGCGGGGUAACGGCCCACCAAAGCGACGAUCGAUAGCCGAUCUGAGAGGAUGACCGGCCACAUUGGGACUGGGACACGGCCCAAACUCCUACGGGAGGCAGCAGUGGGGAAUAUUGCACAAUGGGGGAAACCCUGAUGCAGCGACGCCGCGUGAGUGAAGAAGUACUUCGGUAUGUAAAGCUCUAUCAGCAGGGAAGAAAAUGACGGUACCUGAGUAAGAAGCCCCGGCUAACUACGUG
rnacentral:rRNA from 1 species